rnacentral:lncRNA from 1 species
CAAAUCUGAACGGAGGUUAAGGUGUUAAAGGAAUGGGGGAGGUGGGAAGCAGAGCAGAAAGGCGGGAGGUGGUCGCAGGAUAUUGCCUGGGACUGCCGGCUCAGUGGAUUUUGGGAAUUGUAGUCCGCCAGUCGUCCAGGGCAUUCCGGUUUAGGGAACCUGACUACGAGUCCCAGAAGCCUUCGGAGCGGCUCUCUGGGAACGCACUUCCGGGGACGCCGAGAGGGAGACGCUCCGAGAGGCUCUUCAGUGUGGGCGAGGGAAAAUGCCCUGGAUGUGAGAAACAGGUCCAGGUCAUCUUGGCUGUGUUCAGAUGUGCAUAUAUUUCUUCUAAGUUGAGUAAAGUUGUUUUGGAACCUUCAAGUACCUCAAAGAAAUGUACUGCAGUGAAUAAUUGCCAAUCAUGUAUAAACAGAAAGAAAUGUUUUUGGUGCAGUGAAGAAAAGGCUUGCAAAAAAAUUUGUUUUCUAAAUUCUCAGUGUCCUGUCAGUUGUUCAUUUUGGUUAAACUGUCAAGGUGAGUUGUCCAUAUUUGAAUUUUUAUGUACUUUUUUUUUUUAUGUACUUUUUAUAAUAGACUUGCAAACACUAGUGAUUUGCUAC